rnacentral:rRNA from 1 species
UACAGAGGGUGCGAACGUUGCUCGGAAUUACUGGGCGUAAAGCGCAUGUAGGCGGAUCCAUAAGUCGGGGGUGAAAUCCCGAGGCUCAACCUCGGAACUGCCUUCGAUACUGCGGGUCUCGAGUCCGGGAGAGGUGAGUGGAAUUCCUAGUGUAGAGGUGAAAUUCGUAGAUAUUAGGAAGAACACCAGUGGCGAAGGCGGCUCACUGGCCCGGUACUGACGCUGAGGCGCGAAAGCGUGGGGAGCAAACAGG